UACGAAGGGGGCUAGCGUUGUUCGGAUUAACUGGGCGUAAAGCGCGCGUAGGUGGUGUGUUAAGUCUGCCGGUCAAAUGCCGAGGCUCAACCUCGUUGCACGCCGGGGAUACUGGCACGCUAGAGACAAGUAGAGGCAAGCGGAAUUCCGGGGUGUAGCGGUGGAAUGCGUAGAGAUCCGGAAGAACACCGGAGGCGAAGGCGGCUUGCUGGGCUUGGUCUGACGCUGAGGCGCGAAAGCGUGGGGAGCGAACAGG
rnacentral:rRNA from 1 species